GAUGAACGCUGGCUGCGUGCCUAAUACAUGCCAGUCGAGCGAACAGACGAGGAGCUUGCUCCUCUGACGUUAGCGGCGGACGGGUGAGUAACACGUGGAUAACCUACCUAUAAGACUGGGAUAACUUCGGGAAACCGGAGCUAAUACCGGAUAAUAUAUUGAACCGCAUGGUUCAAUAGUGAAAGACGGUUUUGCUGUCACUUAUAGAUGGAUCCGCGCCGCAUUAGCUAGUUGGUAAGGUAACGGCUUACCAAGGCGACGAUGCGUAGCCGACCUGAGAGGGUGAUCGGCCACACUGGAACUGAGACACGGUCCAGACUCCUACGGGAGGCAGCAGUAGGGAAUCUUCCGCAAUGGGCGAAAGCCUGACGGAGCAACGCCGCGUGAGUGAUGAAGGUCUUCGGAUCGUAAAACUCUGUUAUUAGGGAAGAACAAAUGUGUAAGUAACUAUGCACGUCUUGACGGUACCUAAUCAGAAAGCCACGGCUAACUACGUG
rnacentral:rRNA from 1 species